UACAGAGGUCCCGAGCGUUGUUCGGAUUCAUUGGGCGUAAAGGGUGCGUAGGCGGUUUUUUAAGUUUGAUGUGAAAUCCCGGGGCUUAACCCUGGAAUUGCAUUGAAUACUGAAGAACUAGAGUACUGGAGAGGAAACUGGAAUUUACGGUGUAGCAGUGAAAUGCGUAGAGAUCGUAAGGAAGACCAGUGGCGAAGGCGAGUUUCUGGACAGUUACUGACGCUGAGGCACGAAGGCCAGGGGAGCAAACGGG
rnacentral:rRNA from 1 species